rnacentral:tRNA from 2 species
GCCGGCAUAGCUCAGCGGUCAGUAGCGGCUGCUUUGUAAGCAGCGGGUCCUCCGUUCGAAUCGGAGUGUCGGCUCCA